UGCAGUGUCCCAGUACCUGCACCCAGCAGCCUUUCCUGGUGUGAUGUUCAAAAAGCUGUGCUCCGUCAGUGUAGCAUUUGGCAUCCUUGGCUUUCAUUCUCCUAUGUUUGUUAAACCUGGUAAUUUUGCUGAAACAGUC